rnacentral:sRNA from 1 species
AACAGGCCGAGGACGUUGUCCAAUGUCAGUUGCCAGUUGGCGAACAGUUUAUAUCAGAACCACAGUACACAAGAAAGGGAAAAAUACCCCUUUACUCUUGGUUCCUUGACUUGGUUCCUUGCACAAGUGCCCUACUAUCCUCUUGUCUCUUAUCCUCCCAUUUUUGAGUUGGGUAGAAAGGCAAAUGCGACCCCUUGCCGUGGACGGGUUUGGACCAACGGCGGGUAAAAACGGCGGCGAGAUUGGUAUUUCAGCUAGUUAAGGGCAGCAGCACGUAGCUAGGUCAGUGGCAGUUUGAAGGGGGACAAACCCAGAAAUAGCAGCCAGCAUAGAAACAGCGAGCAGGCAAACAAAUAAUAAA